GUCUCUGAGCAAGCAGUGCAGAGCUCGAGGUCCCAGGAGGCUCUCGUUGCUAUGGUGAUGACUCCGCGCGGGGCCCUGUGCCAGCCACAUCCAAGGACUGGAGGAGGGUCCAGACCCCGCCCCCGACGUCAGGAUUCGGGAGCUGCGAGCCAGUCCCGCGAGGCCACUGUUGCUGUGGUGAUUUGCAGCGGCCUGCGCGCCAGAACCUGGUCUUUGCAGCUUUGGUGAGUCCACUCACCCUCCCGGCUGCGGAAGCUUCCCGGAGGUUAUGGUCCUGAGGCUGUCGAGUGUCCAGCCCUCCUCCUACCCCCAAACCUGAGUGUGGCCUGCAGGCCUGCUCUUCCUCACUGAGCAUCCAUCCUGGGCCAGGCCUCUGGUGGGAGCUGGGUCAGAAGAGGACAGCAAAUUUGGGAAUGGU
rnacentral:lncRNA from 1 species